CCUGGGAGGAGAGAAAGGAGAGGAAAUAUAUGGAAUCAACACCAUCAGUCAAAAGCAUUUAGUAAGGGUCAGCUGGUUAACUUAGCUGAUUAGAACACAGCUAUUGAGGCCAAGGUCACAGGUUUGAUUCCCAGUGAUGGCCAGUAAGCUUUUUUGUUCUACAGCCAUAAGCUACACCCUUGAACUCUCUACCAGCUGUCCUGUAAAUAUCUACCAUAUUUGGUCAAGGCAGAAGAGCUUCUGAAUGGAUACAAAAGGAUAUGGAAAAAUUGAUGCAAAUUCAGUCCCAUAAAUAGUAAAUUAAUUCAGAGUAUACAGUAGCCUAUGAACAGGGGUUCAGCCAAAAAGACCUUAUAUUAGAUUUACAGCACAUAUUUCCAUGUUAUAGUAGGUGCUAGCCAUUAUCUAAGGAUACAAGUCAGUCCUGAUCACAGACCAGUGAGUACCUGCCCUCUAGGAGCUCACAGCCUAAGCAUAAAAGAGACUCAGAUCUGAGGAACAUUCUUGACAUGCUAGAUCUGUAUAAUGAAGAGGGCAAGAACAAUUAGCUUGAGAAGUCCUCACUGCAGAUUAGCAGAGACCAGGAAAGCCCCUGCUCCUCAUCUUCUCCACCUGCUUUCCUUCUUCCUUUUCCCCGAAGGUAGACCCCUUGUUCUACCAGCUCUGGACUUAGGCUCACCCACAGGACUGUCUAGAGUCUCCCUCAAAGAGGGCAAUCAGGAACCCCUGACCUGGGAGAUGACAAGUUUGAAGGAUGACUUGAAUUCCUGCACAUCAGAUGUUAGUCGUGCCACCAGUUGCCCUGUCUUUUUGUUGUCAAAGAAGGCAAUGUCCUGUCUGGAGGAAUAAGAAUUGGAUCAUCUAUGGGGUAAAGUCCUACACUAAAGUACCAAUGCAAAGCA